GAUGGCAAAAUAUAGGCUCAUUUGCAAAAGCAGCAUUUAGCAAAACAUUUAAGAGAAGUAAAACAGUAGAGUAAUUAAUCAGAAAUUUUAAUCAACACUGAACAGCACACCCAUGCUGCACAGGCCCAACCAUCCUGAACAACCGUACCCGGCUGUACAAAUCUAACUCCAAACCAGGAGCUAAGCAAAUUAUUACCAGUUAAUCAUCAAUAAUUAUUGUGAGAGGUGUGAGACUAAUCACGAAAAACAUUGCUCAACUCGCCCAUAACCGCGGGCACGGCUAUUCGAAUAGUUUUACUCUGGCCAGAGGUGUACCACUAUACCCACAAGACACAACCUCAACAUCAUGUCAACCAUGCGUCGCGAUACUGGAAAGUACCCGAAUAGAGGCUGUGACAUUACCCCCUACAUAACACAACUCACCACAGUGCACCAUUCCUGGAUCAUAAUCACCCCCUCUACAACCAGAGGCAUGGACUCCCCAGCGACCCCCAUGGACUUCUCGCCACUUCACAGUCUGGCACACUAUAAUGAAUCAUGCUAUACAAAAGAUAAAGCCGUUGCCCACGCUGGCUUGUGGUUGGUACGGUAAAUGUUUCACAACAGUAGCUCGCAAACCGGUCCUUAAUUGUCAUGAGCACAACCAUCAAAACCAUAUGCUCACAACCCACCUUAACCAGGUUUUAAUUAUCAAUUAAUUAUCAUCACACGAUUAACCAUCGUGAGCUACCAUUAAAUAUGACCACAAAUAAUAAUGUAGUAUAUAUAAUUCAUCCCAUUAGUGAACUAAUGUUUCUAAGCUUUGCUAAGCAAUUAUAUCUAACAUUUAGCUGAACCAAACCAAUACAUAAGGUUCAAGCUAAUCAAUUUAUUACCCAAGGUAUCAAGGAAUAAGGCAUUCAAUGCAAAUUGGCCAUAACAAAGGAAUAGGUUCACACCACCCGGUGACAUUCGAAAAUAAAUGCACAGUUGAAAUAAAUAGAGAAUUUAAAUAUAGGAUCAACAUGCUCAAAGGAUUGUGUUUAGGAUCUGUGUGACUUGCCUUGCAAUAAUCAGUCUUCAAUUAAUCUUCCUGAUCACUUCCGACGCACUCACGAACCUUCGCAACGACGGAAACGACAAACUAACACGUAAAACGAAGAAAAAGACUAAUAAAAACCAAAUAAACAGUACAUAAAAAGUAAACAAACAUGUAGAUCAUAAUUUUAGAUGAAUUAUGAGACUUGAACGGCCUUACUCCGACUUCAAAUGAAUUUAUUAUGAAUUUUACAAGAUUAAAUCUAAUUAAAGCCCAAUUAAAAAGAAUUAAACAAAUUUAAUUCAAUUUAUGGACAAUUUUAAUAUGUAGAUCUUUAUUUUAGAAAAAUUUAGCAACUUGAACCACCUAAAACGGAUCUACGGUUAUUUAGUUAUGAUUUUCCAAAGUUUUAAUCUAUUAGAAAAAACGGGAAAAAGGAAAAAGAGAGAAAGAUGACGUCAGCCCUGGCCCUGAUGACGUCAGCCCUUGCGAUGACGUCACGCUGACGUCACCCAACGGCGGCCGGCUCGGGUUCGCGAGCUCGCCGGCGCUAGGGAAGUCGACGGCGGAAACGGAGGCCAUCUACGCGUAGAGGACAACGAGGCGAACCCGUUGGUACUCACCACGUAGUCAAAGGAUGCACGACGGCGGCCGGCGACGAGAGAAGGCGGCGCGGCGGUUCGGGUCCACGGCGUCGAGGGGGCUCCGGUGGUCGGCGGCGGAAAAGAAGGGGCGGCCGAGCUUCCUCACACGACGGCGCUCCUCUUGGCGGCAACGGCGAGCGGCGGCGACGACGGAGGCGGCGGCGCGACGCGACCGAAGAUGGCCGGCGGCGGCGGCAAACCUAAUGCACGCGGCGGCGGCUCUAGGAGGCACGGGAGAGCUCGAGAAAGGGGGCAAACGGAAGAGGAGAUCAAGGAGAAGCUUUAUAUGAACUCGGAUCGAAGAGAUCAAGCCGCAAACGAGAGGAAUCGAAUCGGGAAGAAAUCGAACUCGGUUUUUUUAGGGAUAAAACAAAACGAGUUCGAUUCGGAUCCAAACCUCCACGAUUCGUUUUGAUUCUUGGGGGAAAAGAAAUAGGAGAUCGAGAGGAACAAAACCCCUCAACCAAUCGAAGGAAUCGAGCUCGGAUUUGGGCGAAAUCGGCGCGGGAAACGGCGCUAGGGUUCGGGCUCUUGCGCGGCGGCGGCCGGAGGAGGAAGACGGCCCUGACAUGUGGGCCCCACAUGUCAGCGGCUGGGAGAGAGGGGCGGGCGGCGGCUUGGGCCGGCGUGGGCCGCGCGCGGGGAGAGAGAGGAAAGAGAGAGUUGGGCCGAAAUCGGCCCAACGGCCUAAGAGAGGAUUUUUAAAACUUUUUCAAUUAAAAUAAUUCGUGAAAUGUUGUUUCAUUUAUUAAAAAUACUUCCCUUGCUCAAAUAAUUCCCAGAAAAAUCUAGAAAAUAGAGGAACAAGCAAAGUGUUUAAUAAAAUUUUAUCUAACCCAAUUUUAUAUUGAACUUUAGCAAAUUAAAAGAAAAGAUCUUCUCUUUUAAACUUUUAAAAUCAUUUCUAUUAAUUCCUUUUAAACAACAAUUUAUAAUUUAAGGAUUUUAAACAGGAAAAGCACUUAACAAUUAUAAUUAGAUCAUUAUAUGAUUAAUUUAAUAUUUAAAUAAUUGCUGAACUUCUCUUUGUAUGAUUAAAAUUAAUAAUUGAGCUCCGAAAAAUCCGAGAAUAUUCCAGAGAGUAUAAUUAACCAUGGAGAAUUUAAUAAGAAUUAAAUCCAUCCAUGCUUUUUAUUUAGGAAAUUUUAUUUCCCGCAUUUAACUUCACUUGUAAAUUGAUGAACAUUUAAUAUAAAUUCUAUUAUUAAUUUAUUAAAUAAUUUAUAAAUCCUGAGGCGAAAAUCAGGAUGUGACAUCCAUGACUGCCCAACACAUGAGCCUCGUCCCAACACAGGAGACGCGUCACGGCAAAGCCUUUCAAUAACCUUAUGUCACACCCUAAAAAUCCUAAAUAUAUAAAUUGUUGUUUAAUUGGAAUUUUUAGAAAUGAUUUUAAAAGCCUUGAAAAGAAGAUCUAAUUUUAAUUAAUAAAUUCCAAUAUAAAAUGGGGCCAGAUAAAAUUUCAUUAAAUACUUUGCUUAAUUCUAUAAUUCCUAGAUUUUUCUGGGAUUUAUUUGAGCUAAGGAAGUAUUUUUAAUAAAUGGAAUUGCAUUUCAUGAAUAAUUUUAAUUGAAAAAGGUUUUAAAAGUCCUCUUUUGGCUUUGGGCCGAAAGUUGGCCCAAAACCCUUCUCUCUCUCCUCGGCCCAGCCGGCCCAGUCCGAGCCGCCGCUCUCCUCUCUCUCUCUCCCGCUGACAGGUGGGCCCCACCUGUCAGGGUCGUUGUCUUCGUCGCGCCGCCGCCGCCCGAAACCCUAGUUUCGCGCCGCUGCCGUUCCUUUCCAAAUCCGGCCGCCCAUUUCCUUCUCCGGCCGAAUUGAUAGAGGGGAAAUGAUCUUCGGGAUCUCCUCUACCUUUUCUCCUUUGGAAACAUCGGCUAAAUCGGUUUGGAAAUCGGUGGAUUCGAGUUCGAAUUGGAUCGGUUUUUCUCUCUUCGAGCUCGAGCUUUCCAUCUCGUCGCCGGCCGCCAUGGGCCUUCGUCGUCGCCUCCUAGCUGUCACGCCCGGAAUUUCUAUCCAAAAUUCCAAACGCUUACAUGUGUGUAAACCCUCGUCCAGGAAUCAGCCGAGGCACACAAUAACAAAUUGAUAAUAGAGUACAGUUAUUACUCUAAUUAUUAAGCGUAUAAAAUAUCAUUACAGAGGUAGAUAGUUCCUCUCAAUCAAUAAAGAUCUAAGCAGCGGAAAAAGAUAAACGGCGCGGACGACUCCACUCCACAGGCAGCUUGACCAGGGCUACACCUAAUCCUCCACACCAUCAGCUUCACUGUAGAACUCUUCCUCUGAUGAAUAAUUGCAAGGUGAGUAUAUGACAUACUCAGCAAGCCACGCAGCAAAUAUGCAAGUGCAUAGGAUAACAAAGGAUGGCAUAAUAGGGUUUCAUUUGCAAAAGCAGCUUUUAGCAAACGCUUGAGAAUUUAAUAAAACAGUUAAGUAAUUAAACAAUAUUAAUCCAACGCUAUACAACAUACCCUGUUGCAUAGGCCCAACCAUUCUGAACAACCAUCCCGGCUGCACAGUUCUAUCUCCAAACCAGGAAUAUACCAUUCCAAACCAGGAGCUAAUCAAAUUAUUACCAGUUAUAGCAUCUUCUAUUAUGGUGAGAAGGGUGAGACUAAUCACGAAAGACAUUGUUAAACCCGCCCAUAACCGCGGGCACGGCUAUUCGAAUAGUUUUACUCUAAUCAGAGAUGUACCACUGUACCCACAAGACACAACCCCACAUCAUGUCACCAUGUGCCUCAAUACCACCACGGUACCUCGGAAAGGAGCUGUGACAAUACCCCUCGCACAACA
rnacentral:lncRNA from 1 species